GACGAACGCUGGCGGCGUGCUUAACACAUGCAAGUCGAACGGAAAGGCCCUGCUUUUGUGGGGUGCUCGAGUGGCGAACGGGUGAGUAACACGUGAGUAACCUGCCCUUGACUUUGGGAUAACUUCAGGAAACUGGGGCUAAUACCGGAUAGGAGCUCCUGCUGCAUGGUGGGGGUUGGAAAGUUUCGGCGGUUGGGGAUGGACUCGCGGCUUAUCAGCUUGUUGGUGGGGUAGUGGCUUACCAAGGCUUUGACGGGUAGCCGGCCUGAGAGGGUGACCGGCAACAUUGGGACGGAGAUACGCCCAAGCCCCCGCGGGGGGGAAGGGGGGGGAAAUUUGGCAAAGGGGGGGGAGGCCUGAUGCAGCACCCCCGGGUGGGGGAGCGCGGCUUUCGGUUGUAACCCCGUUUGCCCCGGGGAGGAGGGGGGGGGGGGGUUAAGGGGAAAAGAGCCCCCGCUAACCCCCGGC
rnacentral:rRNA from 1 species